CCUUUGACAUCCAUCCAUCCCAUUUGAAAUAUCGAAUGGAAUGUUUCAACAAGAUCCCUGCAUUAAAGACUGAUUGAUGGCCUUUGCCCACUCCCAUCAAGUCUAGACAGUGAGUGGUUUGAUAGCCCUUUGGAGGGCAGUGAAGGUUCCUGGUUCAUACUUGAGAAUCCUGACAAUGAGAUAGCAGGGAACCAAGGCAGCAGUAUGGAUGCCCCUGGUGUGACCCUUCAGAAUAAAUCUGGGAUAAAGUAGUCAGAGGAAAACAAAUACAUGGUGUCAAGGCAGAACAGCGUUUAAGAAUUAGGUAGUGGUCACGGGGAUCAGGACCAAGGAAGCACCCAGCAGGCCUGUCGGUAAUCACUGGCUCCAUGAAAGCCUGAUCCACUGCGAUCUGCUGUGUCCAGUGGACUAUGGAGGUCCUCAAGACACCAUCUUUUGAAGGAUACAGAACCUUACCAUCACUCCCCACAUCCCCAGGUCCUCAGGGGAAAGCUGGAGGAGCCCAAAUCUUUCCAGAACCUUGAAAACCACCAUCGUGAAUAGGUGAGUGAGGAGGGUGGAUGAAGGAGUGAAUUGGCUGUGUGAUGACAAUUCCUUUUUGAAGGAAGAACGUGCAAAGUAGCAAAAAUCGAGACACAAAAAGGAGCUAACCAUUUCCUAAUUUCCUAAGCUGCGUAACCCAAAGAGGAAGAGGUCAGAACUGUAUUGAUUUCCACUGUUCUGCGCCUGGAAGACCCAUCGAGAUUCCGACGCGGGUCGGGGCAGCGUGAGCUCUUUUCGCAUCCUGCCAGCAGGCGGCACUGUGGGAGCCAAGCUCACGCUGCAGCUAAGCGCGGGAGAGGCAGUGUUCCCAGGAAGCCCUGCGUGUCUCCACGGCAACGGCGCCAGGGGCGGGUCCAGGGGGGCAGGCCCCGCCCACAACGCGGCCUCCGCUUUCAGAACUUCUCUGCUGCGGUUUGAGUGUCUCAGAUCUCCCAGACUCCACACCGGUCUUGGACCCUCGAUGGAACCUCGCAGGAGGGCUCAGGCAAUGCAGAGUCUUCAGGUGCUACCAGGUGCCGGGGCGGGGUCAUUGACAUCAGCGGGGGAAGGACUGAGAAUUGAGCCAGUUCUGUGGCUCGUGAGCAGAAAAAUGCGAAUUACAGUUUGAUCUUAUUAAAUUAAGCCCUGGACUGAGCAGCUAGUUCCAGGAAAGCAAGACAACAGUAAGCCCACAUGAGGAGGGCUGCCAUUUGGGUGGUCAUCAAAGACAGGGCUGCUCUAGAAAGUUUAUAGAAAAAGGAUAUGCGGUAUUUUCAACGACUACCCAAAGAGCUGAUGUGAAGGACCUGCACUGCCAAGAGCCUCAAACUCCUUUCUAAAGCACACACCCUCAGGGCUCUGCCCAUCUCCUGGCUCUUCAGUGUGGGGACCCUACUCCUGCUCUGUGAAGCAAGUUCCUGGGUGAAGAGCCAACCAAUGGAACAGCAGGAAAGCCACUCUGAGGCAGAAAUUUAUUUAUUACAAUUCUGGAGGCUGGGAAGUCGAAGACCAAGAUGCCUGGUGUGAGAGCCCAUCCGUGUGUGACUGACCAUUGACCCUGAGACCAAUCACUGACCCUGACCUUGGAAUGCUGUCCCCCUCGACCUUCAUUGGAUGGAAUUUUCCCCUGAAUUUCUUGUUCCCCAAUAAAAGGCCACUCCCUGGCGUGCCCUUCCUCUCUC